rnacentral:rRNA from 1 species
AUUGAACGCUGGCGGCAGGCUUAACACAUGCAAGUCGAGCGAGCGGCGGACGGGUGAGUAAUGUCUGGGAAACUGCCUGAUGGAGGGGGAUAACUACUGGAAACGGUAGCUCAUACCGCAUACCAUCAGAUGUGCCCAGAUGGGAUUAGCUAGUAGGUGGGGUAAUGUCUCACCUAGGCGACGAUCCCUAGCUGGUCUGAGCGGAGGACCAGCCACACUGGAACUGAGACACGGUCCAGACUCCUACGGGAGGCAGAAGUGGGGGAUAUUGCCCAAUGGGCGCAAGGCUGAUGCAGCCGCGCCGCGGGUGUGACGAAGGCCUGUGGGUGGGAAAGCACUUUGAGCGCAGAGGCGAUGCUCGCAGAAGAAGAGGCGGCUAACUACGUGCCAGCAGCCGCGGUAAUAC